AAGCAGUUCAAGUCGAACGGCAGGCAACAGUGUGUAGCAAUACACAUGGGUGGCGAGUGCGGACGGGUGGCGUAACGCGUAGGGAAUUUGCCCUAUAGAGGGGGACAAACCCGAGGAAACUCGGGCUAAUACCGCAAUAAUAACUCUUCGGAGGAAAGGCUGGGAUAGCAAUAACCGUCCGCGCUAUAGGAGAAGCCUGCGUCUGAUUAGCUAGUUGGUAGGGUAAAGGGCCUACCAAGGCGAUGAUCGGUUAGCUGGUCUUGAGAGGAUAGUCAAGUCCACCACUGGGGACUGAGACACGGCCCAGAACUCCUACGGGAGGCAGCCAGUGGGGAAUAUUGACCAUGGGGGGCAACACACUGAUCCAGCAUGCCGCGUGUGUGAAGAAGGCCUUCGGGUUGGUAAACCUCUUUAGUUUGCCGGAGCGAAUUGCCAACAUCAGUUGGGCUUGACGGUACCCGGGUGAAUAAGCACCGGCUAAACUCCGUGCCAGCAUCCGCGUAAUACGGGGGGUGCGAGGCGUUGUCCGGAAUACCACUGGGCGGUAAAGGGCGCAGCUAGGUGGUCUGAUAAGGUGUGGUGAAAGCCCGGGGGCUCAACCCGGGUCGGCAGUGCCGACUGUUUGGACUAGAGUGCUGUAGGGGCAGGCGGAAUUCCGGGUGUAGCGGUGGAAUGCGUAAGAUCCGGAGGAAGACCGGUGGCGAAGGCGGCCUGCUGGGCAGUUACUGACACUGAGGACGCGACAGCGUGGGGAGCAAACAGGAUUAGAUACCUGGUAGUCCACGCCGUAACGAUGGGUACAUAGGUGCCUGGGGGAGCGACCCCUUGGGUGCCGGCGCUAAACGCAGGAAGUACCCCGCCUGGGGAGUACGACCGCAAGGUUGAAACUCAAAGGAAUUGACGGGGCCCGCACAAGCGGGGAGCGAUGUGGUUUAAUUCGACGCAACGCGAAGAACCUUACCUAGGCUUGACAUGCAUGGGGAAACUCCUCAGAAAACGAGGGAGCCUCCUUCGGAGAUCCAUGCACAGGUUCUGCAUGGCUGUCGUCAGCUCGUGUCGUGAGAUGUUGGGUUAAGUCCCGCAACGGAGCGCAAAACCCCUGUUCUUAGUUACCCAGCGCGUAAUGGCGGGGACUCUAGGAAGACUGCCGGUGCCAAACCGGAGGAAGGUGGGGACGACGUCAAGUCAUCAUGUCUCUACGAUCUAGGGCUACACACGUGCUACAAUGGAUCGGACAGUGGGGGGCCGAGGCAGCAAUGCCAAGGCAGUCCCAAAAACCGGUCCUCAGUUCGGAUUGUCGAUCUGCAACUCGUAGCGAGCAUGAAGCUGGAAUCGCUAGUAAUCGUGGAUCAGCAUCUGCCACGGUGAAUAGCGUUCCCGGGCCUUGUACACAACCGCCCCGUCACGCCAUGGAAGUGGCGAGCGCCCGAAUGUCCGUGUCGGAACCCGCGAAGGGACCAUAGCCGAGCCGAAGGCGAGCGUCAUGAGCAUGGGGCG
rnacentral:rRNA from 1 species